rnacentral:rRNA from 1 species
AUUGAACGCUGGCGGCAGGCCUAACACAUGCAAGUCGCGCGCAGCGUCGGACGGGUCAUUAAUGCCUAGGUAUCUUCCUGUUAGUCAGGUAUAACGUCCGGAAACGGGCGCCAAUACCGCAUACUAUCAGAUCAGCCUAGGUCGGAUUAGCUAGUUGGUUGGGUAAAGGCCUACCAAGGCGACGAUCCGUAACUGGUCGGAGAGGAUGAUCAGUCACACGGGAACUGAGACACGGUCCAGACUCCUACGGGAGGCAGCAGUAGGGAAUUUUGGUCAAUGGGCGAAAGCCUGAGCCAGCCAGGGCGCGUGUGGGAAGAAGGGCUUCGGAUAGUAAAAAGCUUUUAGUUGAGAGGCGUUACCAACAGAAUAGGCAACGGCUAACUACGUGCCAGCAGCCGCGGUAAUUA